rnacentral:piRNA from 1 species
UGCCAAGAAAGGGGAACCGCGUGGAC